GUGGAAGGCUACAUCGUCACAAACAUGUCUGACUUCCGUUCGAAACGCCAUUGUGUUCCGGAUUGAUAACAUAAUGUCGUGGUACAAAAUAGCUAUACACCGUUUAAUUGAACUCUUCUAACUAAGGAGACGAGAUAGGACUGAAAUCACCAAAACGCUUAGAAAUAUGUCAAUUUUCUUCCUGUUUAAAGCUUUUAACUAACAUUGAUUAUCAGCUGUUUUGUACGGAAAACGUGGACUCUAAAUAAUAUACCGUUUCCCUGCUCUGCUGCUAUUGGCAAUACAUUUUUGUCAUGUCAUCUGCAACAGACGAUCAUACAUAUGUGGCGGAUUAUCGAUAUAGAUACAGCUGGGUAGCAAUAGCAGUGGAAGCCCGGCUUUGCAAGCAAAAUGAGGGAAAGACAGGAUUCUGAAAAGGAGCAUGUUUUUCAUUUCCAUACAUGCAUGUGUAUCACUAUGGACAUCUAAUGUUUUUGUGGGAUUUUGUCCAGCAGUUUGCCUUAACAGAAUUUUUUUAUAUUUUAGUUUCAUAUUUAUGUGGAUUCCAAUAAAAAUCAUACAAACUUCAUUCAUGAUUUUUUUGUUUUUCAUUUCUAAACUUAAUAACAUUUCACUUUCAUAAGAAUUUUAAAACAGAAAUGUUUAAAAAUUUGAUAAAUAAGGGGUUAUCUGGAACCAGACUGAUAUUUUAAAAAUUCUCUAGAAAAUAGUGUAUUGUAUUUUGAGGUAUAUUAUUGUUGAAUACUGUGCCUAGUAUUGGUAACAAAUGCAUGCAACAAAAAUCUC